rnacentral:rRNA from 1 species
GAUGAACGCUGGCGGCGUGCCUAAUACAUGCAAGUCGAGCGAACAGACGAGGAGCUUGCUCCUCUGAUGUUAGCGGCGGACGGGUGAGUAACACGUGGAUAACCUACCUAUAAGACUGGGAUAACUUCGGGAAACCGGAGCUAAUACCGGAUAAUAUUUUGAACCGCAUGGUUCAAUAGUGAAAGACGGUUUUGCUGUCACUUAUAGAUGGAUCCGCGCUGCAUUAGCUAGUUGGUAAGGUAACGGCUUACCAAGGCGACGAUGCGUAGCCGACCUGAGAGGGUGAUCGGCCACACUGGAACUGAGACACGGUCCAGACUCCUACGGGAGGCAGCAGUAGGGAAUCUUCCGCAAUGGGCGAAAGCCUGACGGAGCAACGCCGCGUGAGUGAUGAAGGUCUUCGGAUCGUAAAACUCUGUUAUUAGGGAAGAACAAAUGUGUAAGUAACUAUGCACAUCUUGACGGUACCUAAUCAGAAAGCCACGGCUAACUACGUG